rnacentral:rRNA from 1 species
GACGAACGCUGGCGGCGUGCUUAACACAUGCAAGUCGAACGAAGUGGCGAACGGGUGAGUAACGCGUAAUCAACCUGCCCUUCAGAGGGGGACAACAGUUGGAAACGACUGCUAAUACCGCAUACUGAAGGAGGGGCUUGCGUCUGAUUAGCUGGUGGGCGGGGUAAAGGCCCACCAAGGCGACGAUCAGUAGCGGGUCUGAGAGGAUGGUCCGCCACCCUGGGAAUGAGACCCGGCCCAGACUCCUACGGGAGGCAGCAGGGGGGAAUUUUGGACAAUGGGCGCAAGCCUGAUCCAGCCAUGCCGCGUGUCUGAAGAAGGCCUUCGGGUUGUAAAGCUCUGUUAAUCGGGACGCGGUACCGGAAUAGAAAGCCACGGCUAACUACGUGCCAGCAGCCGCGGUAAUUC